rnacentral:rRNA from 3 species
UACGGCGAGUGAGCGGCAAAAGCUCAAAUUUGAAAUCUGGCACCUUCGGUGUCCGAGUUGUAAUUUGAAGAAGGUAACUUUGGAGUUGGCUCUUGUCUAUGUUCCUUGGAACAGGACGUCACAGAGGGUGAGAAUCCCGUGCGAUGAGAUGCCCAAUUCUAUGUAAAGUGCUUUCGAAGAGUCGAGUUGUUUGGGAAUGCAGCUCUAAGUGGGUGGUAAAUUCCAUCUAAAGCUAAAUAUUGGCGAGAGACCGAUAGCGAACAAGUACAGUGAUGGAAAGAUGAAAAGAACUUUGAAAAGAGAGUGAAAAAGUACGUGAAAUUGUUGAAAGGGAAGGGCUUGAGAUCAGACUUGGUAUUUUGCGAUCCUUUCCUUCUUGGUUGGGUUCCUCGCAGCUUACUGGGCCAGCAUCGGUUUGGAUGGUAGGAUAAUGACUAAGGAAUGUGGCUCUACUUCGGUGGAGUGUUAUAGCCUUGGUUGAUACUGCCUGUCUAGACCGAGGACUGCGUCUUUUGACUAGGAUGUUGGCAUAAUGAUCUUAAGCCACCCGUCUUGA